UGAUUGCAUCAAACAUUAUGCCUGCUUAACUAAGAGAUCCAGCCCUAGAGGAAGAGGGAGAGACCCUAGAGGUAUCUGGGGUCCCCGACAAAAGAAAGCUGGUUUGAAUUUCUGCAAGGAAGACAUACAAAGGACCAUCUGAUCAGCAGGGAGAUUACAGAAUCCCCUCGGCUAAAGAGCCAGAAUCUCAGCCACAGCCGUGUGUCUGGAACAACUCAAGCUCAGCCUGUCUUGAGUCGCUGAGGGAACACGCUGGGGCACUCACAGAACAUCCUACCGCGUGGGAGGCGCUCAAAGGUCUCAAGCAUAAAUGUGUCAUGCGAAGCCUUUGCUGCUGGUAACAAACAAGACAAAUUCAAGACAGACUCUGGUUUGGAAAGUAAGAUAUUAGGUAAGUAGGUUCCCAGAACAGCAAUGGAGAGAUGACACGGAAGAAAAAGGCGGCGCACACAUCCUGCCCAGGGUAAGAGAACAAACAGAUUCCGUACCUCAC